AUUGAACGCUGGCGGCAGGCCUAACACAUGCAAGUCGAGCGGAGCGGCGGACGGGUGAGUAAUGCCUAUGUAUCUGCCUGGUCGUUGUGGAUAACGUCCGGCUAGGGGCGCUAAUACCGCCUACUCUCUGUUGAGCCUAGGCCGGAUUAGCUAGCUGGUGGGGUAAAGGCCUACCAAGGCGACGAUCCGUACCUGGUCUGAGAGGAUGAUCAGUCACACUGGAACUGAGACACGGUCCAGACUCCUACGGGAGGCAGCAGUGGGGAAUAUUGGACAAUGGGCGAAAGCCUGAUCCAGCCAUGCCGCGUGUGUGAAGAAGGUCUUCGGAUUGUAAAGCACUUUAAGUUGGGAGGCGUUACCAACAGAAGAAGCACCGGCUAACUUCGUGCCAGCAGCCGCGGUAAUAC
rnacentral:rRNA from 1 species